GUGUAAAUAUCGGCCGGCGGACAACUCUUUCGGAAAUCCAGUUUUACUAGCGGAAUCCUUAAGGAGAAAUGGCGCCUAAAAAAAAUUACACGCCUGCACAAAUGGCUCAGGCUAUAGAAGCGGUCAAAAAAGGC